rnacentral:rRNA from 1 species
AUUGAACGCUGGCGGCAGGCCUAACUCAUGCAAGUCGAGCGGAUGAAGGGAGCUUGCUCCUGGAUUCAGCGGCGGACGGGUGAGUAAUGCCUAGGAAUCUGCCUGGUAGUGGGGGAUAACGUCCGGAAACGGGCGCUAAUACCGCAUACGUCCUGAGGGAGAAAGUGGGGGAUCUUCGGACCUCACGCUAUCAGAUGAGCCUAGGUCGGAUUAGCUAGUUGGUGGGGUAAAGGCCUACCAAGGCGAUGAUCCGUAACUGGUCUGUGAGGAGGAUCAGUCACACGCGAACUGAGACACGGUCCGGACUCCUACGGUAGACAGCAGUGGGGGAUAUUGGCCGAUGGGAGAAAGCCUGAUCCAGCAAUGCGGCAUGUGUGAAGAAAGUCUUCGGAUUUAUAAUCACUUUAAGUUGGGCGGAAGGGCGGUAAGUUGAUACCUUGCUGUUUUAACGUUCCAACCAGAGUAUGCGCCGGCUGAAUUCGUG